rnacentral:rRNA from 1 species
UACGGAGGGUGCAAGCAUUAAUCGGAUUGAUUGGGCGUAAAGGGCGCGUAGGCUGGGAGGCAAGUCAGAUGUGAAAGCCCGGGGCUCAACCCCGGAACAGCAUUUGAAACUGCUUCUCUUGAGGAUAGGCGGGGAAAACGGAACUCCAGCAUGUAGCGGUGAAAUGCGUAGAUAUGUGGAAGAACACCUGUGGCGAAAGCGGUUUCUAGCUUAUUCCUGACGCUGAGGCGCGAAAGCAAGGG